rnacentral:rRNA from 1 species
UUGUAGGGGGACGCAGGAAGGUAGAUGAACCCGGUGAAUGGUAGAACCGGGGUAAGCGUGUAGGAGGAGGACCAGGUAAAUCCGGGCCUCAUAAACUCUGAGACGUGAUACCGAGCCGCUUCAGGCGAAGUCAUUGAUCCUAUGCUGCCUAGAAAAGCCCAGCAGCGAGUUGACAUGGUGCCCGUACCCCAAACCAACACAGGUGGACAGGUAGAGCAUACCAAGGCGAGUGGGAUAACUAUGGUUAAGGAACUCGGCAAAUUGCCUCCGUAACUUCGGGAGAAGGAGGACCCCAGUAGCGUGAUGAGACUUGCUCUCUGAGCGUGAAGGGGUGGCACAAAAUUGAGGGAAGCGACUGUUUACCAAAAACACAGCAGCGUGCUAAGCCGUAAGGCGCUGUAUACGCUGUGACUCCUGCCCGGUGCUGGAAGGUUACGGGGAUGGGUUAGUCCUUCGGGACGAAGCUCUGAACCUAAGCCCCAGUAAACGGCGGCCGUAACUAUAACGGUCCUAAGGUAGCGAAAUUCCUUGUCGGGUAAGUUCCGACCUGCACGAAUGGAGUAACGACUUCCCUACUGUCUCAACCAUAGACCCAGCGAAAUUGAAGUACGAGUAAAGAUGCUCGUUAGCUGCAGAAGGACGGAAAGACCCCGUGGACCUUUACUAUAACUUGAUGUUGUGUUUUGUCAUAUGUUGUGUAGGAUAGGUGGGAGACUUGGAAGCAUGGACGCUAGUCUGUGUGGAGUCAUCGUUGAAAUACUACCCUGCAUAUGGUGAGGCUCUAACCUAGACCCGUUAUCCGGGUUGGGGACAGCGUCAGGCGGGUAGUUUAACUGGGGCGGUUGCCUCCUAAAGAGUAACGGAGGCGCCCAAAGGUUCCCUCAGCCUGGUUGGCAAUCAGGCGUUGAGUGCAAUGGCAAAAGGGAGCUUGACUGCGAGACCUACAAGUCGAGCAGGAGCGAAAGCUGGGCAUAGUGAUCCGGCGGUUGCGUGUGGAAGCGCCGUCGCUCAACGGAUAAAAGGUACCCCGGGGAUAACAGGCUAAUCUUGCCCAAGCGUCCAUAGCGACGGCAAGGUUCGGCACCUCGAUGUCGGCUCAUCGCAUCCUGGGGCUGAAGCAGGUCCCAAGGGUUGGGCUGUUCGCCCAUUAAAGCGGUACGCGAGCUGGGUUCAGAACGUCGUGAGACAGUUCGGUCCCUAUCCUCUGCAGCCGGAGGUGAAUUGAGGAAAGCUGUCCCUAGUACGAGAGGACCGGGACGGACGCAGCUCUCGUGUGCCAGUUGUCCUGCCAAGGGCAUGGCUGGUUAGCGACCUGCGGAAAGGAUAACCGCUGAAAGCAUCUAAGCGGGAAGCCUCUUCCAAGAUGAAUUCACCCACAGGGUUAACCUGGUAAGGCCCGUGGUAGACCACCACGUUGAUAGGCCGGAAGUGUAAGCGUGGCAACACGUUCAGCUGAC